UGCUGCAUGGCUGUCGUCAGCUCGUGUCGUGAGAUGUUCGGUUAAGUCCGCUAACGAGCGCAACCCUCGCUGUGUGUUAUAUGUGUCACACGGGACUGCCGGUCUUAAGCCGGAGGAAGUGGGAUGAUGUCAAGUCAGCAUGGCCUUUAUAUCCUGGGCUACACACACGCUACAAUGGCCAACACAAUAGGUUGCUAAGCCGCGAGGUGGCGCCAAUCCAUAAAGUUGGUCUCAGUUCAGAUUGUAGGCUGCAACCCGCCUGCAUGAAGAUGGAGUUGCUAGUAACCGCAGGUCAGCUAUACUGCGGUGAAUACGUUCCCGGGGCUU
rnacentral:rRNA from 1 species